GAUGAACGCUGGCGGCGUGCUUAACACAUGCAAGUCGAACGAAGCACCUUGAUUCGAUUCUUCGGAUGGAGAUCUUGGUGACUGAGUGGCGGACGGGUGAGUAACGCGUGGGUAACCUGCCUCAUACAGGGGGAUAACAGCUAGUAAUGACUGAUAAUACCGCAUAAGACCACAGCACCGCAUGGUGCAGGGGUAAAAACUCCGGUGGUAUGGGAUGGACCCGCGUCUGAUUAGGUAGUUGGUGGGGUAACGGCCUACCAAGCCGACGAUCAGUAGCCGAGCUGGGAGGGUGACCCGACACAUUGGGACUGAGACACGGCCCAAACUCCUACGGGAGGCAGCAGUGGGUAAUAUUGCACAAUGGCGGAAACCCUGAUGCAGCGCCGCCGCGUGAGCGAUGAAGUAUUUCGGGAUGUAAAGCUCUAUCAGCAGGGCAGAUAAUGACGGUACCUGACUAAGAAGCACCGGCUAACUACGUG
rnacentral:rRNA from 1 species